CUGCUCCUGGAGCCCCUGGACGCCGUGGACCCAGUGCUCCUGCAGCUUCCUGGUGCAGCAGCGCUACCGGAACCAGCGGGGCCCGGGCCCCCAGGGGGCGCUGUGCGUGGGGCUGGACGGCGAGUUCCGCGCCUGCGACUCCUCCCAGUGCUCGGAAGCCAACUGUGAGCCUCCCUUUGAGUUCCGGGAGUGCGGGAUCCCCUGCGCCGGCCUGUGCUCCACGCUGCAGCACCAGGAGCUGUGCACAGCCAUCCCCCGGUGCCUGCCCGGCUGCUACUGCCCGCAGGGCCUGGUGGAGCAGAGGGGAACCUGCGUGCCCCCCGCGCAGUGCGGCUGCCUCCACCUCCGCCCGGGCGAAGGGCCCGUCUACCUGGCGGCCGGGGACACUGUGCUCGUGGGCUGCAAAGAAUGCGUGUGCCAGGAGGGGACGCUGCAGUGCAGCAGCGAGAGCUGCCAGGGUAAGUACCCUCCUCCCCCCCCACGGGCACCAGCGGGCGCC